CUUCUUCCUGCUCUCUGCUCUGUCGCUGCCAUGUGAUCCUGGCAAGACAGAACACAUUCUGCGGGUGUCUUAUGAUUAUGGUUGAUAAUUAAGACUGAGAUAGCAGAUAAGAAAUCCUAGUCAUUGGCCACCAGCAUUGUAUCUAAUAUAAGUCUCCAUGUGUUAUUUGGGGCCCUAACACAGCAGGCGGAACUCCAGCAGCUGGCAGAAAGACUUACAUUACAGGGAAGGGGAGACAGAAGAAAAGGAGAGAAAGAAAGGCAUCUAAGAAUAAAUGACCAGGAAAGUGGAGAAGUCUUGCCAGCUGUUUUGAGAUUGUCAAUUCUGUCCCAGUCAGGAAAGUUACACUUAGUGUUUUGAUAAAGCUUGAGGGGGACCUUUCUUGGGGGACCUCAGUGGAUUCCAUGGGGGUUGAGGUUGACCAAGGCAGAGGGACAAACAUGCCAGGCAACAGAGCUUAAGUGAGAAGUUUUAAUAAAAACAGAAGGGAUGGGGAAGGAAGGAGAAAGGAGGUAAAAAGACAUGGAUACAGGACAGAAUAGAAGAGGGAGACAGGAGAAGUCCUGUCUGCCCCAGGGGAGCAGUGGGAAAGAGGAGCGGACAAAGAGAAGGGAGCAGAAAUAGAGCAUAAGUGGUUGGGAGGUCUUUCUUUUAAAGGGAUCCUUUGCACUUGCUUGCAGACUACACACUCAUGGAACCCUGGGCUGACCAGGGUACUGCCUGAGUGCAUUCUGCCAGGUGACAGGGGCAGGCCAGCAUAAUGCCUGAAUCCUAACACCUAGCACAUUUCCACAUGAGAUGUUUACUCAGGAAAAUCAGUUUCCUUCUGCCUGGUUCAUAUUGUAGAAGGUAUCAUUAAGUAUGUCAAACUCCAAAAUGAACGUACAGCUGGGAAUUCAGCACAUUUCACCCAGCCAUGUACAGCUGUGGGCAGCAGCUCACAGGUGUGAACUAGAAACAACUCUUGGAUGGGGCCACAGAGUCCAGUUCUAUCCUGUGACUCUGUUCUUCCAAGUUGGCCUUGAACUCAUAGAGAUCCACUUGCCUCUGCCUCCCACGUGCUGUGAUCAAAGACAAGGACUCUCCUGUCAUUCAGUGCUCUGUACUCCAGGAUUGCUGGCCCUCAAGCUUCUGGAGCUUUCCCUGCCUCCCAUGUCCCCAUAGCAGCUCUGGGAUUACAGAAGCGUGCACUUUGUCCCCAGCCAUGAUGUGGCUUCUGGGCAUCCAAACUCAGGCCAGCCUUGUGGAGCAAGUGCUUUACCCAGUGUGUCAUCUCUGAAGCCACAAGAAGCAUUUGGGGGAAAUGGCUCAGAAGUCAGAACCACACUCUUGCAGGAGACCUGAGCUCUGUUCCAAGCACACACAUCAGGCAGCUUACAACUGCCUAUGACUCCAGCUCCAGAAAACACAAAGGAUUUUUGAUGGACGAUGUAUGAGGGCCAAAGAAAAGCCUCCAGAGAUAGGUGAGGCAGGGUUUUAUAUGCCUCCCUGUCUAAAUCCUGGUUCUUUUGAGUCUAUCUUGGAUGGUGACCAUGAACUGCAGUGUGGAGAAUCAACUUCUCAAUCUGCAUUUCAAAGUAAAGUGUCAGGAACUUGAACCUAAGUGGGGAUGCUUUCUUCUCAGUAACGGUACUGUUGCCUUUGCUGUUAUAAUGGUCAAGUUGACUGGAGACCUACAGAGAGUAAUUCUUAGGCAUUUUUAACUACACUAAGCCGUCUAGGACUACAAGAAGACAAGUGUGCCUCGUUCUCUUUCACAAGUCCUUGCAAAGAAGAUGUCUCCUCUGGCUCCUCCCUCCAAGCUGGGGACUGUAGUCUUAGAGAUUUUUCUAUUUCUACCCACCUCUUUUUUUCCAGCAUAGUCUUUUCCUAGGUCAAUUUCUCUCUUUGUGAGUGGGGGACACCUGGGAGUGAGAGGCUGCAUAGCUGUCUUCCCUUCUCAUCUGGGAGUCUAAAAUAGGUUCUGUCUUUCUGUGGGACAGAAAGAAAUACUGAGUCUGGAUCUGGUACAUCCUCUUGCAUGUCACAUGGCCAUGCAAUGUUAAAUGUCACCUGUGCCAUUUGUUCACUUUGCAAGUGAACAAAUGCCUAUCAUCUAUUUUGAGAAAAACUUGGUGUGAUGGCUACUAUUGAUUGUUGCCUAGGAGACCAAGCUUCUGGGCAUGCCUGUGAGGGCAUAUCUAGAUUUGCUUAAUUAAGAUCUACCCUAAAUGGAUGACUGAAUUAAAAAGGAGAAAGCUAGCUCAGCCUCGGUGCUCAUCUCUCUCUUCUUCCAGACUGUGGACAUAAUGUGACCAGCUGCCUCAUGUUCCUGCUGCCGUGUCUUUCCCACUGGGAUGGACUUACUCUCAGACAGUGAUCCAGAAGAAACCCUUCUCCCCUGAAAUUGCUUUGGCCAGGCAUUUUGUCAGAGCAAUGAGACAAGUAUCUAAUACAGUGAAGUUAAAAUAGGAGGCCUUUGUCGCUUGCCAGGAAAGCAGGAGUUAGAAUGAACAAGGCCCUCACAUUCCUGCAUGGAUUAUUUCCUGGACAGGCAGUAUAUGGGGGAAUUAGAUUUUAGGAGCAGCUUUCCUUCCUCUUCCACACACUCCAAAUGAACACCAGGCUUUGCUCUGAAGCCACACCUUGUGGCAUUCCUGUAGAUACAGAACCUCCUGACUACUUCUAUUUCUCUGCCUGCCUCCCUGCCUGCUGUUCCUGUCUGCACCAGAGAAGUGGCCCUGUGAAUGGAAACCCUUUUGGACACUGACUUCUGCUUCUCUAGGAUCAAGGAUGGUUCUUUGUCCUACAUUUACAUGUGACCUUUGGCAAGUAUAAAGUGCUCUAGUAUUUAAAUUAGAGAGUGAUUUAUCCUAAUAUAAUGUAGGGCUAAGCAUUGCAGAUGGAAGCUUAUUGGGGGGGAGUGAUGACUCAUUUCUUUCUAGGAUUUCUUCCAACUCUGAGAAUCUAGGAUGCUUUGAGGACCUUAUUUUUAGGAACAGAAAUUAGAAAUGAAUUGACUAUCCCUCAGAGAAAGAGAGAGAGAGAGAGAGAGAGAGAGAGAGAGAGAGAGAGAGAGAGAAUCUUCUUACCUCAUCUUUGGAUUUUUGUUCCAUAAUAUCACAGAUGUCUAUUUCAAAUACCACAGUUCAUUUGCUUGGUGGAGUCUGGUUCAAUAAUACCAUUAUAUAUUUAUGUGGGUUUUGUGGGGGAGCAAAGAUCAAUAGAGAUAUUUCCAGCCAUGUGUCUGGAAUUAUGGCUUUCUUUUCCUGCUCUAUUUAUUAUUUAUU
ensembl:lncRNA